rnacentral:rRNA from 1 species
GAGUUUGAUCAUGGCUCAGGACGAACGCUGGCGGCGUGCUUAACACAUGCAAGUCGAACGGAGCGCCUAUGAAGGAGAUUUCGGUCAACGGAAUAGGUUGCUUAGUGGCGGACGGGUGAGUAACGCGUGAGGAACCUGCCUUUCAGAGGGGGACAACAGUUGGAAACGACUGCUAAUACCGCAUAACACAUAGGUGUCGCAUGGCAUUUAUGUCAAAGAUUUAUCGCUGAAAGAUGGCCUCGCGUCUGAUUAGCUAGUUGGUGAGGUAACGGCUCACCAAGGCGACGAUCAGUAGCCGGACUGAGAGGUUGGCCGGCCACAUUGGGACUGAGAUACGGCCCAGACUCCUACGGGAGGCAGCAGUGGGGAAUAUUGGGCAAUGGGCGCAAGCCUGACCCAGCAACGCCGCGUG